rnacentral:rRNA from 1 species
AGAGUUUGAUCCUGGCUCAGGAUGAACGCUAGCUACAGGCUUAACACAUGCAAGUCGAGGGGCAGCAUGGUCUUAGCUUGCUAAGGCCGAUGGCGACCGGCGCACGGGUGAGUAACACGUAUCCAACCUGCCGUCUACUCUUGGACAGCCUUCUGAAAGGAAGAUUAAUACAAGAUGGCAUCAUGAGUCCGCAUGUUCACAUGAUUAAAGGUAUUCCGGUAGACGAUGGGGAUGCGUUCCAUUAGAUAGUAGGCGGGGUAACGGCCCACCUAGUCUUCGAUGGAUAGGGGUUCUGAGAGGAAGGUCCCCCACAUUGGAACUGAGACACGGUCCAAACUCCUACGGGAGGCAGCAGUGAGGAAUAUUGGUCAAUGGGCGAGAGCCUGAACCAGCCAAGUAGCGUGAAGGAUGACUGCCCUAUGGGUUGUAAACUUCUUUUAUAAAGGAAUAAAGUCGGGUAUGCAUACCCGUUUGCAUGUACUUUAUGAAUAAGGAUCGGCUAACUCCGUGCCAGCAGCCGCGGUAAUACGGAGGAUCCGAGCGUUAUCCGGAUUUAUUGGGUUUAAAGGGAGCGUAGAUGGAUGUUUAAGUCAGUUGUGAAAGUUUGCGGCUCAACCGUAAAAUUGCAGUUGAUACUGGAUAUCUUGAGUGCAGUUGAGGCAGGCGGAAUUCGUGGUGUAGCGGUGAAAUGCUUAGAUAUCACGAAGAACUCCGAUUGCGAAGGCAGCCUGCUAAGCUGCAACUGACAUUGAGGCUCGAAAGUGUGGGUAUCAAACAGGAUUAGAUACCCUGGUAGUCCACACGGUAAACGAUGAAUACUCGCUGUUUGCGAUAUACGGCAAGCGGCCAAGCGAAAGCGUUAAGUAUUCCACCUGGGGAGUACGCCGGCAACGGUGAAACUCAAAGGAAUUGACGGGGCCCGCACAAGCGGAGGAACAUGUGGUUUAAUUCGAUGAUACGCGAGGAACCUUACCCGGGCUUAAAUUGCAGAUGAAUUACGGUGAAAGCCGUAAGCCGCAAGGCAUCUGUGAAGGUGCUGCAUGGUUGUCGUCAGCUCGUGCCGUGAGGUGUCGGCUUAAGUGCCAUAACGAGCGCAACCCUUGUUGUCAGUUACUAACAGGUUCUGCUGAGGACUCUGACAAGACUGCCAUCGUAAGAUGUGAGGAAGGUGGGGAUGACGUCAAAUCAGCACGGCCCUUACGUCCGGGGCUACACACGUGUUACAAUGGGGGGUACAGAGGGCCGCUACCACGCGAGUGGAUGCCAAUCCCCAAAACCUCUCUCAGUUCGGACUGGAGUCUGCAACCCGACUCCACGAAGCUGGAUUCGCUAGUAAUCGCGCAUCAGCCACGGCGCGGUGAAUACGAACCCGGGCCUUGCACACACCGCCCGUCAAG